GAUUGGAGAGCUUGCUUUCCAUGAGAGUGGCGCACGGGUGCGUAACACGUAUGUAACCUACCCUUAUCAGGGGGAUAGCCUCUCGAAAGAGAGAUUAAGCCCGCAUAAUAUGAAGACACAGCAUUGUGAUUUCAUCAAAUAUUUAUAGGAUAAGGAUGGGCAUGCGGAACAUUAGCUAGUUGGUAAGGUAAUGGCUUACCAAGGCUACGAUGUUUAGGGGAUCUGAGAGGAUGACCCCCCACACUGGUACUGAGACACGGACCAGACUCCUACGGGAGGCAGCAGUAAGGAAUAUUGGUCAAUGGGCGGAAGCCUGAACCAGCCAUGCCGCGUGCAGGAAGACGGCCCUACGGGUUGUAAACUGCUUUUGUACCGGAAUAAACCUCAUUAUGUAUAAUGAGCUGAAUGUACGGUAAGAAUAAGGAUCGGCUAACUCCGUGCCAGCACCCC
rnacentral:rRNA from 1 species